AUUGCGCUAUAUAAGCUUAUGUUGGUACUAUGUAGUCUUAGAGACGAAAGGACAAACUACGGGAGGGUUGUGCGCACCCGAGUGGUGGAAUUUACCAAUAGCAGACAGCUAACGGCAUGGACUGGUUCUUGACGUAAAGCGGAAAAUCAGCUGGUAUGAACGGAGCAAGUUGACAGGUUGGAACCCUCCUGCCAAAUACGUCUCCAGUCCACCACAAUGUCAACUCCGUUCGUUCCACGUCAUGACGUCACAGGCCAUGUCGUCAUACAGCCGUCUGUUCAUCAUAGACCAUAUGCGUCACUGCAACGUUAUGGCGUCAUCCAUCACAGCAACAUACUCCACGUUUUACAUCUCGGACUAUAAUCGUCUUACGUCAUCAGACAUCGCAAAAAUCUAUUUAGAAAAAGCAGCAAUGACGUCAUAAUACAUCCGGAUUUUGCAGAAUGAUGUCACAGACGCAUGGUUUUGCCGAAUCACUGCCAUAUUUAUAACGAAAUCUGAAGUCUUGCAAAUCUUCCUUGACUCAAGGCCAUUUCCUCGUGGAAUUACACAAAUUCAAAAUUGAAGAUCCGUCAACGAAACGAAAUACGCCGAAAUGAAAGAGAAUCAAAACAAAAUCGUGAUUUGUUGCCAAGACUGACGAACUUGAUCAACAGUAUUAAUCAUUAUAAUUUACUAUAAUUUAUGAUUAGUAAUAUCAGUUUAUUUAUUAUAAGGCUUCUGGGGUUUGCUUGUCAGUAUUGGAAACAUUGUAAAACUAAAAUAUUCAGGACCGUACCUAAUCUAAAACGAGGGGUGGUAGUAUGAACAAAAAAUUGGGACAAAGAAACACAGGGUCUUUCCCAGAUAGACGAACCAAACAGGCACUUUUUUGUAUUUCUCUAGGGGUUGCAACUACCCUCUGGACAUCACGUUGAGUAUACGUACGGCCCUGAUGUUAUAAAACAGAUUUUAUAAGACGCAUCUGUAUUAUUUUAUAUUAAAGGCACACAUGGCACAACUUUGUAAAAUAACUCCAUUUAAUAUGUACUUUUAUGAAUGCAAAUCAUGCAGCACUCAAAACUUUGUUAUACCAAACAAUGCAUAGCUUAUUAAACUUCUGUAUUUUGGGUAGUAUUACUACUUAUAAUACUCAUAAAACCUUUUACUCAUUUCUGAAACUGGCGAGCGCACUUUAUCGGUUUCGCUACACCAUUUCCAACAAUCUGAAAGUCACAUUUACCGUUUACAAAGUUUAAUAUCUCGAGAUAUGAACUUAAGGAGUGCCAGGUUAGUCCAUUAUAAUAUCGUAUCUCGGACACGAAUUAGUUGAUCAAUCUCAAUACAUUACGAAAAAGCGGACUGUGUGCCUUUAAAUAAUCUCUACAGAUUAGAUCUGAAGUUAAAAGGAAUACAAAGAUCUGAAUUUCAUACAUCCUAUAAAAAAAUCUAUUUAUACAGAAAACAGUUAUUUUAUGUGAAUAUAUUUCAUCUUUUAAUAUAUACUUAAGCUAUUAAAUUACUAGUACAUAAUUUAUAUAUCUACACUCGGGAACAACGGUUAAGAGGUUUAUAUCAUUUCAUACCCAGAGUUUAUUUGUCAUUGUUAUUCCAUUGUCAUUUAUUUAUUGUAUUUUGUGUAUAUAUAUAUAUAUAUAUAUAAAACAAUAUAUCAGUUAGAAAGAAAGAACUAACACACUCUACUAACAUUUUAAAGGACAUGUCAUACAGCACGACUUUCUUGCACUUUGACGAGGAACCUUAAAUAAUUAUGAAAAUCCAUUUUCAGAAAUUUUCCAGUGGUACUUUUACUAUAACCUUCGUCACUUUUGUUCUUUAACCAAUAAACAGUUCUGUAUCAUACAUGGUUAUUUAGAAACAUACUAUCUUGUUGAUGUCCUAUUUUGUGGAAGUUAGCUUUAGCCAAUUAACUAUGAAUUGACAUUACAUAAAUAUCGAAAUUUUGUAUUUAAAAAAUAAACGAAACAGGAUUUUAAUAUAUUUGUGUCCGUUUAGGAAAUCCGUGCUGUAUGACAGUGUCUUUACAAACAAUGAGAGUCCCUUAUCCAUUCCGUCCAUGCAAAGAUAAGUGUACCUUAUUGAAUCCGCCCGCACUGUUUGUGCCCCUAUCGAAUCCGUCCAUAAUUGUACAUAUGAAAACAUAUAUUUAUGCUUUGUAGAUAUACGCAAAUUAUUAUAUUUUAAUAUGGUAUUGAGUAAUAUAUAGUCCUGGAUUUUCCGCUCUAGCUUAUCGCAAUAUGCGUGAUAGGCGAAAUAUCGCUUCUUAGCCUUUUGUUUGCAAACCACCGUAGUUCGGAUGUGUCCGUAAAUGAAACUCCACUCGCAAUUUUUCGACAGUUCUCGUAAAUCAAUAAUUGGCCAUUCCCAAUAUUUGGUGGUGUGUUUGGGUUUUUUAAAAUUUGAUUCAUGAUAAAUUAUAAAAUUAUUAAACAUUUAACGUUGCUGGUUUUACUAAGCUACAAGAAGAACAAAAACAUAAAACAAAAUAUAUAUUUAUUAGAUCAGCAUAUGACACUGCGUAACUCGAUUUGAAAAUUGGUAGAAAUUGAAAAAUAUAUUGCAGUGACGGUGGUUUGCAGAGCGACAGGAUUUGAAAGCAGAUGUUAACCGAUUCCCAUAAGAUAAGCCGCUGUACUGUGAUAAUUGUACAUAGUAUUUAUUAUAGACUGGUCCUAGCUGCAUUCUUCAAAAGCACAAUGAAGCACAACGAAGAUGUAGUUUUGGAUAUGUAUUCGGAUAGGUUCGGGCAUGUCCGUAAGCACACGAAUCGUGAGCUUUCGGAGGCGUCGAAAACUUCCAGCAUUUAUGAAUGUAUUAUCCUUGUAGUUUGUGCGUUUGAGUGUACGUGUGAAUGUGUGCGUGUGAGAAUGUAUGCAGAUAUGUGUGCGUGUGCGUGAAUGUGUUGUCUCGUCAGUUCGUAUUUUGUCUAAUUUGUUUAUGUCAGUAUGUUUGUGUGGAUGUGGUUUCUAUGCGUGCACGUGUGUUUGUGUGUGGUGCGUUUGGAUUUCGUUGAUUUCUUUUUCUUUUAAAUAAACAGCUGUGUAUGCAA